UCCCGCAAGGGAUUAGUAGAGUGGCAAACGGGUGAGUAACACGUGGGUGACCUGCCUUCGAGCGGGGGAUAACGUCCCGAAAGGGACGCUAAUACCGCAUAACAUCCUGCCUUUUAAGAGGUGGAGAUCAAAGCCGGGGAUCGCAAGACCUGGCACUUGAAGAGGGGCCCGCGCCUGAUUAGCUAGUUGGUGGGGUAAUGGCUCACCAAGGCAACGAUCAGUAUCCGGCCUGAGAGGGCGGACGGACACACUGGGACUGAGACACGGCCCAGACUCCUACGGGAGGCAGCAGUGGGGAAUUGUUCGCAAUGGGCGCAAGCCUGACGACGCAACGCCGCGUGGAGGAUGAAGACCUUCGGGUCGUAAACUCCUCUCGAUCGAGACGAAUGGUUUCCGGGUGAACAAUCCGGAAAAGUGACGGUACCGAGAGAAGAAGCCCCGGCUAACUCCGUGCCAGCAGCCGCGGUAAUACGGGGGGGGCAAGCGUUGUUCGGAAUUACUGGGCGUAAAGGGCUCGUAGGUGGCCAACUAAGUCAGACGUGAAAUCCCUCAGCUUAACUGGGGAACUGCGUCUGAUACUGGAUGGCUUGAGUUUGGGAGAGGGAUGCGGAAUUCCAGGUGUAGCGGUGAAAUGCGUAGAUAUCUGGAGGAACACCGGUGGCGAAGGCGGCAUCCUGGACCAACACUGACACUGAGGAGCGAAAGCCAGGGGAGCAAACGGGAUUAGAUACCCCGGUAGUCCUGGCCCUAAACGAUGAAUGCUUGGUGUGGCGGGUAUCGAUCCCUGCCGUGCCGAAGCUAACGCAUUAAGCAUUCCGCCUGGGGAGUACGGUCGCAAGGCUG
rnacentral:rRNA from 1 species